GGCUACAAAUCAAACUGCUGUGCGUGUGCAUUUGGGUCCACCAACUACACCCCCUAACACUCCCUUACCCACGGGUCUGUUCCAUGUGCUAGCUUAGCAUGAAAUGGAAAGGCAGCCUGUGGGAAACACUGCUUUGAAUCAGGCAAACCACAUUUUUUUUCAAAAAUGUGGCUCCAGCUUUUGCCCACAGCGCCUUCUGUGCAGAAGUAACUAGUGGUUGGAUGGUGGGGACCUACUGAGAUGAGCAUCACAUUUCAUCACCUUCCUGGCAACAUUAUAGCAUUCAAAAGAUCUGAAAUAAGGUGAUGAUUAGCUACAGGUUUCCAGAGGAGGUGAGGAAACCUCUGAGUCGCCAAAUGGCACCAAAGUCAUGGACCACUCCAAACGCAUAACGAGAGUUUGUAUAGAUGUUGGUUGUUCUGCCCUCGGCGUGUUUAAAUGCCUCGUGAGGGGUAUUAACUCUGCAGCUUGUGCUGAAAAAUUAGAUGGUGAUCCUACAAUAGCAUGUUGGGUGACAACAGCAAAACCUGUUUGAUUGUUGCCCGUCUUAUUUCUUGAUGCAGAACCAUUCACAAACAACUCAAGGUCAGCGUUUGGGAGAGGUGUGUCUGAGAGAUCAACCCUUGGCAAACACUCCUCACCCAGAAUCUGCACACAGUCAUGAAAAGUUUCUGUGUUAUCGCCAUCUUUCUGUGUCGGGAGAAGAGAAGCAGGAUUUAGACUGGAACAGCGUUUUACUGUGACGUUGGGCAUUUUCAACAAUGUGGUGUGACAUCUCAACCACCGCUGCGCUGACAAGACAGAGGUCGCGUAUCCACCCCUUUGGUCGACAAAUUGGACCAAUGGCUUGUUUGGAUUUGCUACGCCCCUGGAAGGUGAAUGCCAACCAACAUUCACACUCAGGAUGGACGGGCAUGGAGAAAAAUGCAUUCGCCAAAUCAACUACUGGACAAAAUGGUAUGUGGACUAGAAACCUCAAAUCAUCACGUGGGACAAUUGCGCUGUUUUGGAACAUGUCUCUGCCUCGUCCUUGCCUCCGUCCCCGCGCCCCGUUUGCCAUUGCGUUGUAUAUGGUCAGCUGGCCGUCGUCCAGUCUCUCCUGUUUCCUUGUCCUUCUUAGUGCGUCCUGACCAUUUUGAACAUCUUCCUCAUGCUCAGCAUAAUGCAUAAUGUCCAGCAAGCUGCAGGACUUCCAGGAACGGCGACAG
ensembl:lncRNA